AAACAAAUAAACAAAACAUAGUAUUUUUGCAACAUAAAGUGAUCAAUACAUUUCUUUUUGUUGCAAGCUUAGGAGAAAAAAUAUGGCUAAAACUAUUAAGUUUGUUUAUUUAAUGAUCCUCUUUAUUUGCUUUUUUCUUGUUGUAAUUGAUGUUAAUGCACAACGGAGGCCAAGGUGCAAGGAGAAUUCUGAUUGUUCUGAGUUUCCUUGUGUACUUCCUAUGACUCCAAAAUGUGUCGCAUUUAAAUGUAGAUGUCGUCUUGAUUAAAAGUAAACUCGAUUAUAAAAGAUUGAUCGAUAUUGUAAUGUUAAAAGAGAGUUAAAAUUUCAUAUCCGAUUUUUUACUAAAUAAAAAGGGUUUU